rnacentral:sRNA from 1 species
AGCCAAGCACUGUCAGGAAUCCUGUGAAGCAGCUCCAGCUAUGUGUGAAGAAGAGGACAGCACUGCCUUGGUGUGUGACAAUGGUUCUGGGCUCUGUAAGGCCGGCUUUGCUGGGGAUGAUGCUCCCAGGGCUGUUUUCCCAUCCAUCGUGGGACGUCCCAGACAUCAGGGGGUGAUGGUGGGAAUGGGACAAAAAGACAGCUAUGUGGGUGACGAAGCACAGAGCAAAAGAGGAAUCCUGACCCUGAAGUACCCAAUAGAACACGGCAUCAUCACCAACUGGGACGACAUGGAAAAGAUCUGGCACCACUCUUUCUACAAUGAGCUUCGUGUUGCCCCUGAAGAGCAUCCCACCCUGCUCACGGAGGCGCCCCUGAACCCCAAGGCCAACCGGGAGAAAAUGACUCAGAUUAUGUUUGAGACUUUCAAUGUCCCGGCCAUGUAUGUGGCUAUCCAGGCGGUGCUGUCCCUCUACGCCUCUGGACGCACAACUGGCAUCGUGCUGGACUCUGGAGAUGGUGUCACUCACAAUGUCCCCAUCUAUGAGGGCUAUGCCUUGCCCCAUGCCAUCAUGCGUCUGGAUCUGGCUGGCCGAGAUCUCACUGACUACCUCAUGAAGAUCCUUACUGAGCGUGGCUAUUCCUUUGUUACUACUGGUGAGGCUUGUGGGAGAUAAGGGGGAGAGGGGAGCAGUGUGUUGCUCAGUAACUUCCAGGACCAUCCUCACUAUCCAAGGAGAUGAUGGGAUGAAGAUUUGCAAAUGGCAAGGCCUGGCUCUAAUGCACAGAGCAAAGCACAUCUUUCUUUGCUAUGUGAAGUUGCAAAAUGAUUACACUAUUUCCUUGAGGAGAACAGUUAUAGACACCCAGUGUUACGCAUUAGUC